GUAGGCAUAGUGUAAACAAAACGUUAGAUUGUGAUUUUAAAAAUAGAGGUUAAAACCCCCUUGCCAACC